UCCAAUGUCGGUAUAGACAGAAGAAGUGGGCUUUUGUUCUGAUUUCUGUGGCCCAUCGUCUGCUUUCACAAGGCCCAGCAAAAGAUUCUUCUUGGCCCAUCAAAGGCCCGAGACAAACCAUACUCUUCAUUUGUUCAUAUAUCUAGCAAAAAAAAAAAUCAUGUUACUAAAAUGUGAUGAUAAGUCUCUUCUGAAUUGUACUGAACCGAAAGCUAUAGUGAGAAUAAUUGCCCUUAAAGCAACC
rnacentral:lncRNA from 1 species